rnacentral:rRNA from 1 species
AUGGCGGAGGAGCGGGAGGAGGCGGGCGUGGCGCUGACGGGGAGGCGGGCGCGGGCGGACACGAGGCACCCGGUGUACCGGGGCAUCCGGUUCAGGGGCGGCAAGUGGGUGUCGGAGAUCCGGGAGCCGGGCAAGGCCAGCAGGAUCUGGCUGGGCACGUACCGGACGCCCGAGAUGGCCGCCGCCGCGUACGACGUCGCCGCAUUGGCGCUGCGGGGCGCCCAGGCCGCCGGCCCCGCGCUCAACUUCCCCGGCGAGGCGCUGACGCGGCCCGCGCCGGUCUCGGGCGCGCCGGACGACAUACGGGCGGCCGCGGCCGCGGCUGCGGCAAUGGUUGUCGACGCCGGCGGCAGCUCCGGGAGCUGCGGUGCGGGUGAACAGGGCCGCGUCGUGGACGAGGAUGACGUCUUCGAGAUGCCGCGGCUGCUGGCGAGCAUGGCGGAGGGGCUGAUGAUGAGCCCGCCGAGGCUGGGCGCGGCGACGGCGGUGGACGACGACCAGGAUGGCAGCAUGAGCUUGUGGGAGCACUCCUGA